rnacentral:lncRNA from 10 species
UUUUUUUUUUUUUUUUUGAGACAGAGUCUCACUCUGUCACCCAGGCUGGAGUACAGUGGCUCAAUCUUGGCUCACCGCAACCUCUGCCUUCCGAUUUCAAGCGAUUCUGCUGCCUCAGCCUCCUGAGUAGCUGGGAUUACAGGUGUGGUGGCACGCACCUGUAUUUCCAGCUACUCAGGAGGCUGAGGCCAGAGGAUCGCUUGUGAUUGAGGCUGCAGGUGAGCUGUAAUUGGGCCACUGCACUACAGCCUGGGUGACAGAGACCCCAUCUCCAGAAAAAGAAAAAAAAAAAAAACUCGUCAGUUCAAAUGCUUGGGAACUGGCUGGAUUUAAUUUUCAGGGAGCUAUGUGUCUGCAGAUGUGCAAACCUUUAUUUCUUACAAGCAUUGGUGUAUUACAGAUUAGCUCUAGGAAAGAAAUAUGGAGACUUGAGUUUUCAUAAAAAUUACCUGGUGCUACUUCAGAUGUGACUUAUUGACUAUCGAAAUUGCCUUCUGACUGUUGGGCAGUAUUUGCACAAUGAUGAGAUAAUUCCUGUUAUUAUUUUAAAUAGAGACGAGGUCUCACGGUGUUGCCCAGGCUGGUCUUGAACUCCUGAGCUCAGGUGAUCCUCUCACCUCGGCCUCUCAAAGUGCUAGGAUUACAAUUCCUGUUUUUCUAAAACCGGUUUUUCUUUGGUUUUGUCAUUAGCAUGUGCGACACAAGAGGUCGACACUGAACUUAGCGUUUUCAAUAGCUAAGAUGAAAUGUUUCUAUUCAUGAUGUGCUUCUGUUUCCUCAUGUUUCAGGAGGAAAAUAAGAUUUUAUUUUAUCAUCCAAAUGAGGUAGAAAAGAAGAAGAGGCCGGGCUCGGUGGCUCAAGCCUGUAAUCCCAGCACUUUGGGAGGCUGAGGCGGGCGGAUCACGAGGUCAGGAGAUCGAGACCAUCCUGGCUAACACAAUGAAACCCCGUCAAUACU